UACAGAGGUGGCAAGCGUUGUUCGGAAUUACUGGGCGUAAAGGGCGCGUAGGCGGCCUGUUAAGUCGAACGUGAAAUCCCUGGGCUCAACCCAGGAACUGCGUCCGAUACUGGCAGGCUUGAAUUCGGGAGAGGGAUGCGGAAUUCCAGGUGUAGCGGUGAAAUGCGUAGAUAUCUGGAGGAACACCGGUGGCGAAGGCAGCUCGCUGGAACGGUACUGACGCUGAGGCGCGAAAGCGUGGGGAGCAAACAGG
rnacentral:rRNA from 1 species